GACGAACGCUGGCGGCGUGCUUAACACAUGCAAGUCGAACGGAAAGGCCCUGCUUUUGUGGGGUGCUCGAGUGGCGAACGGGUGAGUAACACGUGAGUAACCUGCCAUUGACUUUGGGAUAACUUCAUGAAACUGGGGCUAAUACCGGAUAGGAGCUCCUGCUGCAUGGUGGGGGUUGGAAAGUUUCGGCGGUUGGGGAUGGACUCGCGGCUUAUCAGCUUGUUGGUGGGGUAGUGGCUUACCAAGGCUUUGACGGGUAGCCGGCCUGAGAGGGUGACCGGCCACAUUGGGACUGAGAUACGGCCCAGACUCCUACGGGAGGCAGCAGUGGGGAAUAUUGAACAAUGGGCGGAAGCCUGAUGCAGCCACGCCGCGUGCGGGAUGACGGCCUUCGGGUUGUAAACCGCUUUCGCCUGUGACGAAGCGUGAGUGACGGUAAUGGGUAAAGAAGCACCGGCUAACUACGUG
rnacentral:rRNA from 1 species